AGAGACAUAGUUCCGUGGUAGAGUAUCUGAUUGGCAUGCAGAAGGUCCCAGGUUCAUUCCCUGGUGUCUCCA